UAUCUAUCAAAAUACAGAUGAAGCUACGAGUGAAAUACAGAGUGUGGUCUGCAACGAGCAAGAAUGGGAUGAGUUUUCUGACAGCGGAAGAUCCGAAUGCACAUCAGGAACAUGUAGCAUCGACCAACUCUACGGCAACUUAUAGCAACC